rnacentral:lncRNA from 1 species
UUUUAGGGAGAAGUCGGACCAGCGGGACCUAUUGGAGGAGUCGGCCCAAGAGGAAAGCCAGGACAGAAAGGUUAUGUAGGUGAUCCUGGACCAGAAGGUUUAAAGGGAGAACAAGGAGACCAAGGAAACCUUGGAAAAACUGGUGAAGCAGUAAGCUUGAAUUCUUUCUGGUUUAUUUUUUAAUUCUGUUUUAUUUGAGUGUGAAUGAAUAAUUGAUUGCA